rnacentral:rRNA from 1 species
AGGACGAACGCUGGCGGCACGCUAACACAUGCAAGUCGAACGGAGAUAUUUGGUUUACUGAGAUAUCUUAGUGGCGGACGGGUGAGUGACACGUGAGCAACCUGCCUUUGAGAGAGGGAUAGCUUCUGGAAACGGAUGGUAAUACCUCAUGACAUACUUUUAUCGCAUGGUAGAAGUAUCAAAGAUUUAUCACUCAGAGAUGGGCUCGCGUCUGAUUAGCUAGUUGGUGAGGUAACGGCUCACCAAGGCGACGAUCAGUAGCCGGACUGAGAGGUUGAACGGCCACAUUGGGACUGAGACACGGCCCAGACUCCUACGGGAGGCAGCAGUGGGGAAUAUUGCACAAUGGGGGAAACCCUGAUGCAGCGAUGCCGCGUGGAGGAAGAAGGUUUUCGGAUUGUAAACUCCUGUCUUAAAGGACGAUAAUGACGGUACUUUAGGAGGAAGCUCCGGCUAACUACGUGCCAGCCGCGGC